CCUACGGGAGGCAGCAGUGGGGGAUAUUGCACAAUGGGGGGAACCCUGAUGCAGCGACGCCGCGUGGGUGAAGGAGUAUUUCGGUAUGUAAAGCCCUAUCGGCAGGGAAGAAUUUAGACGGUACCUGACUAAGAAGCACCGGCUAACUACGUGCCAGCAGCCGCGGUAAUACGUAGGGGGCAAGCGUUAUCCGGAUUCACUGGGUGUAAAGGGAGCGUAGACGGCCAGGCAAGCCUGGAGUGAAAGCCCGGGGCCCAACCCCGGGACUGCUCUGGGAACUGUCCGGCUGGAGUGCGGGAGGGGCAGGCGGAAUUCCUGGUGUAGCGGUGAAAUGCGUAGAUAUUAGGAGGAACACCGGUGGCGAAGGCGGCUUACUGGACCGUAACUGACGUUGAGGCUCGAAAGCGUGGGGAGCAAACAGGAUUAGAUACCCUUGUAGUC
rnacentral:rRNA from 1 species